CGAGUUUUGAACGGGUUGUAGCUGGCCUCUCACGAGGCAUGUGCACGCCUGGCUCAUCCACUCUUAACCUCUGUGCCACUUUAUGUAAGAGAAAAAAAUGGUGGAAGCUUCCAGGAUCUCGCGAGAGGUCUUCGGUUGAACAAGCCGUUUUUCUUUCUUAUGUUUUACUACAAACGCUUCAGUUAUAGAAUGUCAACUGUGUAUAACACAUUUAUAUACAACUUUCAGCAACGGAUCUCUUGGCUCUCGCAUCGAUGAAGAACGCAGCGAAAUGCGAUAAGUAAUGUGAAUUGCAGAAUUCAGUGAAUCAUCGAAUCUUUGAACGCACCUUGCACUCCUUGGUAUUCCGAGGAGUAUGCCUGUUUGAGUCUCAUGGUAUUCUCAACCCCUAAAUUUUUGUAAUGAAGGUUUAGCGGGCUUGGACUUGGAGGUUGUGUCGGCCCUUGGCGGUCGACUCCUCUGAAAUGCAUUAGCGUGAAUCUUACGGAUCGCCUUCCAGUGUGAUAAUUAUCUGCGCUGUGGCUGCCGAAGU
rnacentral:rRNA from 1 species